rnacentral:rRNA from 1 species
UACGUAGGUGGCAAGCGUUGUCCGGAUUUACUGGGCGUAAAGAGCGCGCAGGCGGUCGUUCAAGUCGCGUGUGAAAGCCCCCGGCUCAACUGGGGAGGGUCACGCGAUACUGAUCGACUCGAAGGCAGGAGAGGGUAGUGGAAUUCCCGGUGUAGUGGUGAAAUGCGUAGAUAUUGGGAGGAACACCAGUGGCGAAGGCGACUUCCUGGCCUGUUCUUGACGCUGAGGCGCGAAAGCUAGGGGAGCAAACGGG